UAAACAGAAGCCAAUAUCUGGGCGCCUAGCUGUUAAUUAGGAAGUUGUAAAAAUUUUACCUGUUUAG
rnacentral:tRNA from 1 species